UAAGUAGUGAAACGUUAAAGCCUUUCUCAAACCUCUCACAAAUCUAGAAACGUAUAUCCAAAACCCAACGCCGAACUCUAUUUCCUCUCAGAUUCGGUUGUACUAUAAAUCAAUCUUUCAUGAAACUUAUCUCAAACCUUCAGCUCAGAUUUUACAAAUUUUAUUGUAUUGUUCUCACUUUCACCACUUCACUUUCUCAUCAGUUUGAUCUUAUCAACACCAGAACAAUGGAGGUGGCUCAGAAAAAUGCUUCAAAAUACCCCCAAUCUUCAAACUCUUAUCAUUCAUGAACUCUAUAAGCUUGAUGAAGAAUUACUACGUUUCUAUGUUAAAGGAUGGAAAGACCCAGAAAUUGUUCCAGAGUGCCUUUUAUCUCAUCUUACAACAUGCUCGCUUACAAAUUACAGCCUCAUCCAUUCUGAACUUCAAUUUGCACAAUAUAUAAUGCAGAAUUCAAGACUACUAAACACCAUCACAAUUCAAAGUGCCGAAUUCCUAGACACAAAUAGAAAGCUUCAAAUGUUAAUAGAAUUAUCUUCCUGCCCUAGGAUUUCACCCACAUCUAAAUUUUUUUUUAUCUGAAUGAUUUCAGCCACAUCUAUACUUUUUUUAUUUUAUUUGAAUGAUGCUUGAUAGAGCAUGCCUGCAAUAGCAACCCUAAGCUUGCCAAAACGUACUGGUAACUCCAAUAAAUAUGAUAUUCUACUUCAUAAAUUCUUUCUCAA